UACGUAGGGUGCAAGCGUUGUCCGGAAUUAUUGGGCGUAAAGAGCUCGUAGGCGGUCUGUCGCGUCGGAUGUGAAAAAUCCAGGGGCUUAACCCUGGGCCUGCAUUCGAUACGGGCAGACUAGAGUUCGGUAGGGGAGACUGGAAUUCCUGGUGUAGCGGUGAAAUGCGCAGAUAUCAGGAGGAACACCGGUGGCGAAGGCGGGUCUCUAGGCCGACACUGACGCUGAGGAGCGAAAGCGUGGGGAGCAAACAGG
rnacentral:rRNA from 1 species